rnacentral:rRNA from 1 species
UACGAAGGGGGCUAGCGUUGUUCGGAAUUACUGGGCGUAAAGCGCACGUAGGCGGACAUUAAGUUUGGAGGUGAAAGCCUUGGGCUCAACCCAAGAAUUGCCUUUGAUACUGGAUGUCUCGAGACCGGGAGAGGUGAGUGGAAUUCCGAGUGUAGAGGUGAAAUUCGUAGAUAUUCGGAAGAACACCAGUGGCGAAGGCGGCUCACUGGCCCGGUUCUGACGCUGAGGUGCGAAAGCGUGGGGAGCAAACAGG